rnacentral:rRNA from 1 species
CCUACGGGUGGCUGCAGUGAGGAAUAUUGGUCAAUGGACGAGAGUCUGACCCAGCCAAGCAGCGUGAAGGAUGACUGCCCUAUGGGUUGUAAACUUCUUUUAUAAAGGGAUAAAACGAGGCACGUGUGCCUUUUUGCGUGUACUUUAAGAAUAAGGAUCGGCUAACUCCGUGCCAGCAGCCGCGGUAAUACGGAGGAUCCGAACGUUAUCCGGAUUUAUUGGGUUUAAAGGGUGCGUAGAUGGGCUGGUAAGUCCAUGGUGAAAGUUUGCGGCUUAAACGUAAAAUUGCAAUUGAUACUGGCAGUCUUGAGAACAGGUGAGGUAGGCGGAAUGCGUGGUGUAGCGGUGAAAUGCUUAGAUAUUGCGAAGAACCCCGAUUGCGAAGGCAGCAUACCAACCUGUGACUGACAUUGAUGCUCGAAAGUGUGGGUAUCAAACAGGAUUAGAUACCCCAGUAGUC